rnacentral:rRNA from 1 species
CACGUAGGCACCAAGCGUUGUCCGGAUUUAUUGGGCGUAAAGAGCUCGUAGGCGGUUCGGUAAGUCGGGUGUGAAAACUCUGGGCUCAACCCAGAGCCGCCACCCGAUACUGCUGUGACUAGAGUGCGGUAGGGGAGCGGGGAACUCCUGGUGUAGCGGUGAAAUGCGCAGAUAUCAGGAAGAACACCAGUGGCGAAGGCGCCGCUCUGGGCCGGAACUGACGCUGAGGAGCGAAAGCGUGGGGAGCGAACAGG